AGGUAGUUCAUUAAAUAAAAAUUCUAAGAUAAUGUACUACUCACAUACUUUUGAUAGGAGUAAAUUACUUUCAUGACCCUCAUAGUCCAGGUUCUAAUACACUCUCGAAGGCGCAGGAUUUGAAACCAUUGAUGUCCUCGACGUGCUCUACGGUGGCGACGACAGUCCUUGGUGACCUGGCCCUGCUGCUGGCUCUUCCUAGGCGGUAGAUUUGUUGGCUGCUGGUAUGUCAGCCAUGACGGAAUUGAGCUCUCUGGUCACUCUCCUCUCCCCCUUGUGGUUAACCUACACCUCUUUACCAUCCAGUAUAUCCAAUAAAUAAAUGGAAUCACAUAAGAUUCUGCUGUUACAAUUAAUCAUCUGUCAAGCAUGUGUAAUAAUAUGUCAUGGACAUAAAAUUGUUGAUUAAGGUUGUAGUAAUCUGGUCUUAUAAGGGUGUGAAUAUAAAUUCAAACUCUAAAAAGUACAUUUAUUAAGAGGACUUUAUCUUAAACAAUUUAAACCAAAAAAAUAACACCUUAUCUAAUAUAGCUUGAGAUAUCGUGGUUUUAUACCCAGAAGCAAGUUCCUCCUUGUUAGUGUUAUGAGCUGUGUUCAAGCAAGAUCAGCUGAAACUUGAGCAACAAGGCUCGAGACUUGCAGAAGAAACAAAACAGUUUUCAAGAACAAAAUUAAGCUUCUAGGAACUGAACAAUGAAAGCAAAAGAGAGAGUA
rnacentral:lncRNA from 1 species